CCUACGGGAGGCAGCAGUGAGGAAUAUUGGUCAAUGGGCGCGAGCCUGAACCAGCCAAGUAGCGUGAAGGAUGACUGCCCUACGGGUUGUAAACUUCUUUUAUAAAGGAAUAAAGUGAGGCACGUGUGCCUUUUUGUAUGUACUUUAUGAAUAAGGAUCGGCUAACUCCGUGCCAGCAGCCGCGGUAAUACGGAGGAUCCGAGCGUUAUCCGGAUUUAUUGGGUUUAAAGGGAGCGUAGAUGGGUUGUUAAGUCAGUUGUGAAAGUUUGCGGCUCAACCGUAAAAUUGCAAUUGAUACUGGCAGCCUUGAGUACAGUUGAGGUAGGCGGAAUUCGUGGUGUAGUGGUGAAAUGCUUAGAUAUCACGAAGAACUCCGAUUGCGAAGGCAGCUUACUAAACUGCCACUGACAUUGAUGCUCGAAAGCGUGGGUAUCGAACAGGAUUAGAUACCCUUGUAGUC
rnacentral:rRNA from 1 species